rnacentral:rRNA from 1 species
AGCGAACGCUGGCGGUAGGCCUAACACAUGCAAGUCGAACGGCAGCACAGUAAUUGCUUGCUCUUACGCGUGGAGACUGGUGGACGGCUGAGGAAUACAACGGAAGUUAUUUUUUCGUGGGGGAGAUCGAAGGGUAACUUACUCUAACUAAUCAUACGACCUACGGCUGGAUGCAGGCUAUGUUCGGAAAUGACGCGCUAGUAGGAGCCGAUGUCCGCUCAGCUAGUUAGCGGGGUAAGGGCCUACCAAGGCGACGAUGCGUAGCUGGUCAGCGAGGAUGAUCAGCCACACUGGAACUGAGACACGGUCCAGACUCCGACGGGAGGCAGCAGUGGGGAAUAUUGGACAAUGGGCGCAAGCCUGAUCCAGCCAUACCGCGUGGGUGAAGAAGGCCUUCGGGUUGUAAAGCUCUUUUGUUGGGAAAGAAGAGCAGCAGGUUAAUACCGCGCUGUUCUGACGGUACCCAAAGAAUAAGCACCGGCUAACUUCGUG